rnacentral:rRNA from 1 species
GACGAACGCUGGCGGCGUGCUUAACACAUGCAAGUCGAACGGAAAGGCGCUGCUCUUGUGGCGUGCUCGUGUGGCGAACGCGUGAGUAUCACGCGUGUAACCUGUCCCUGACUUUGGGAUAACUUCAGGAGACUGGGGCUAAUACCCGAUAUGAGAUUCUGAUGCAUGGUGUUGGUUGGAGAGUGUCGGCGGUUCGGGAUGGACUCGCUGCUUAUCAGCUUGCUGGUGUGGUAGUUGCUUACCAAGGCUUCGACGGAUAGCCGGCCUGAGAGAGGGAACGGCCACAUUGGGACUAAGAUACGGCCCAGACGGCUACGGUAGGCAGCGGGGGGAAAUAUUGCGGAAUGGGCGGAAGCCUGAUGCAGCAACCCCGGGUGCGGGAUGACGGCCUACGGGUUGUAAACCGCUUUCGACGGAGACGAGGAGUGAGUGACGGUAAUGAGUAAGGAAGCACCGGCUAACUACGUG